rnacentral:rRNA from 1 species
GACAGAGGGUGCAAACGUUGUUCGGAAUUACUGGGCGUAAAGCGCACGUAGGCGGAAUGUUAAGUCAGGGGUGAAAUCCCGGGGCUCAACCCCGGAACUGCCUUUGAUACUGGCAUUCUCGAGUCCGGAAGAGGUGAGUGGAAUUCCGAGUGUAGAGGUGAAAUUCGUAGAUAUUCGGAGGAACACCAGUGGCGAAGGCGGCUCACUGGUCCGGUACUGACGCUGAGGUGCGAAAGCGUGGGGAGCAAACAGG